UCCUACGGGGGGCAGCAGUGAGGAAUAUUGGUCAAUGGGCGCAAGCCUGAACCAGCCAUCCCGCGUGCAGGAUGACGGCCCUAUGGGUUGUAAACUGCUUUUGUACAGGAAGAAAAAUCCCUACGUGUAGGGACCUGCCGGUACUGUACGAAUAAGCAUCGGCUAACUCCGUGCCAGCAGCCGCGGUAAUACGGAGGAUGCAAGCGUUAUCCGGAUUCAUUGGGUUUAAAGGGUGCGUAGGCGGCUCUUUAAGUCAGUGGUGAAAUCCUGCCGCUUAACGGUAGAAUUGCCAUUGAUACUGAAGAGCUUGAGUACAGUUGAGGUAAGCGGAAUGUGUAGUGUAGCGGUGAAAUGCUUAGAUAUUACACAGAACACCAAUUGCGAAGGCAGCUUACUAAACUGUCACUGACGCUGAUGCACGAAAGCGUGGGGAGCGAACAGGAUUAGAUACCCCUGUAGUCCA
rnacentral:rRNA from 1 species